rnacentral:rRNA from 1 species
GACGAACGCUGGCGGCGUGCUUAACACAUGCAAGUCGAACGAAGAGCGACGGAAGCUUGCUUCUAUCAAUCUUAGUGGCGAACGGGUGAGUAACGCGUAAUCAACCUGCCCUUCAGAGGGGGACAACAGUUGGAAACGACUGCUAAUACCGCAUACGAUCUAACCUCGGCAUCGAGGAUAGAUGAAAGGUGGCCUCUACAUGUAAGCUAUCACUGAAGGAGGGGAUUGCGUCUGAUUAGCUAGUUGGAGGGGUAACGGCCCACCAAGGCGAUGAUCAGUAACCGGGCUGAGAGGAUGAACGGCCACAUUGGGACUGAGAAAAGGCCCAGACUCCUACGGGAGGCAGCAGUGGGGAAUCUUCCGAAAUGGACGAAAGUCUGACGGAGCAAAGCCGGGUGAGGGAUGACGGCCUUCGGGUUGUAAAGCUCCGUUAAUCGGGACGAAAGGCCUUCUUGCGAAUAGUGAGAAGGAUUGACGGUACCGGAAGAGAAAGCCACGGCUAACUACGUG